UCCUUCGGGAUUAGUGGCGGACGGGUGAGUAACGCGUGGGAACGUGCCCUUGGUUCGGAACAACUCAGGGAAACUUGAGCUAAUACCGGAUAAGCCCUUCGGGGGAAAGAUUUAUCGCCAUUGGAGCGGCCCGCGUCUGAUUAGCUUGUUGGUGGGGUAAAGGCCUACCAAGGCGACGAUCAGUAGCUGGUCUGAGAGGAUGAUCAGCCACACUGGGACUGAGACACGGCCCAG
rnacentral:rRNA from 1 species